AGUAAACACAGAAUACACUUUAUCUUCUUCUCUCCUUCUCGCUCUCUCUCUCUCUCUCUCCUUCGCUCUCUCUCACCUCCAUGUUCGAUCUUACUGGCUCUCAAAAUCUUCUUGUUGGCUGAAUUCAUUGCCGAUCAAAUCUCUUUCUGAUCAAAUCUCUCUUCUUUCUCAGUUACAACACAGAUUUUUGUCUUCUAUCUUUUGUGCUUUCCCAUCAACAGAGGCUUUCGCAAGGAUUACGAACAAGGACUGAAGUUGCUUCUAAGAUCAUCUUCACUUGGCCUAUUUCAGCUGCUUCUAAAGGUUGCUCUGGGACAGAAUUCUCACACAUUGUUCCUCAAUCCAUUUUUGGGUACAGGGAUUGCAGGAAAAGAUAGAAUUGGUUCCCCUCUAUCUGCAAGAUAGACCUUCCAUCUAGUUCUGCCUAACUUUCCAUCUGGUCAACAAAUCUAGACUUAGGAACCUAAACUUUCACUAUUUCUCAGUUCUCAAACGGGACACUAUUAUGUACUUGAGUCAAUUGGUAUGCCAGAAUGCAAGCUUGGCCUUAACGAUCGAGUGUUGCUAGAGGCACAAGGCAGAGCAACAAAGGGAAAAGCUAUUGAUUUGGAAGACAUCAAAUUUCAUCAGUACGCUGCUUUAACUUGUUGGUCUAAUUUAAUUCUAGUGUUGUCGAUACAAGUGUUUUGGAUUCUAAAAUCGCUAUUCUAAGGAGACAAGUAUCUUCACUUCUCUCCUUACAUCCUCUAUGGCAAUUACUGUUGUCAUCUGCAAAAUCAUCUAUCAUGAGAACAGAACAAAGCACUUCAAUGGAUUUA